rnacentral:rRNA from 1 species
GGUUCGGCCUAAGUUCCUUGGAACAGGACGUCAUAGAGGGUGAGAAUCCCGUAUGUGGCCGAGGCCCGCGCCUAUGUAAAGCUCUUUCAACGAGUCGAGUUGUUUGGGAAUGCAGCUCAAAAUGGGUGGUAAAUUUCAUCUAAAGCUAAAUAUGGGCCAGAGACCGAUAGCGCACAAGUAGAGUGAUCGAAAGAUGAAAAGCACUUUGGAAAGAGAGUUAAACAGUACGUGAAAUUGUUGAAAGGGAAGCGCUUGCAACCAGACUUGGGCGCUGCCGAUCACCUUGAGUUUUCUCGAGUGCACUCGACAGCGCACAGGCCAGCAUCGGUUCGGGUGGCUGGAUAAAGGCCGUAGGAAUGUGGCUCUCUUCGGGGAGUGUUAUAGCCUACGGUGCCAUGCAGCCCAGCCGGACCGAGGACCGCGCCUUCGGGCUAGGAUGCUGGCGUAAUGGUUGUAAGCGACCCGUCUUGAAACACGGACCAAGGAGUCUAACAUCUAUGCGAGUGUUUGGGUGGUAAACCCAUACGCGGAAUGAAAGUGAACGUAGGUGAGAACCCCUUUGGGGCGCAUCAUCGACCGAUCCUGAUGUCUUCGGAUGGAUUUGAGUAAGAGCAUAGCUGUUGGGACCC